CCUACGGGAGGCAGCAGUGAGGAAUAUUGGUCAAUGGACGAGAGUCUGAACCAGCCAAGUAGCGUGAAGGAUGACUGCCCUAUGGGUUGUAAACUUCUUUUAUAUGGGAAUAAAUUGUUCCACGUGUGGGAUUUUGUAUGUACCAUAUGAAUAAGGAUCGGCUAGCUCCGUGCCAGCAGCCGCGGUAAUACGGAGGAUCCGAGCGUUAUCCGGAUUUAUUGGGUUUAAAGGGAGCGUAGGUGGAUUGUUAAGUCAGUUGUGAAAGUUUGCGGCUCAACCGUAAAAUUGCAGUUGAAACUGGCAGUCUUGAGUACAGUAGAGGUGGGCGGAAUUCGUGGUGUAGCGGUGAAAUGCUUAGAGAUCACGAAGAACUCCGAUGGCGAAGGCAGCCUACUGGACUGCAACUGACACUGAGGCUCGAAAGUGUGGGUAUCAAACAGGAUUAGAUACCCCAGUAGUC
rnacentral:rRNA from 1 species